AUUGAACGCUGGCGGCAUGCCUUACACAUGCAAGUCGAACGGCAGCACGGGUGCUUGCACCUGGUGGCGAGUGGCGAACGGGUGAGUAAUACAUCGGAACGUACCUUAUCGUGGGGGAUAACGCAGCGAAAGUUGCGCUAAUACCGCAUACGCCCUGAGGGGGAAAGCGGGGGACCGUAAGGCCUCGCGCUAUUAGAGCGGCCGAUGUCUGAUUAGCUUGUUGGUGAGGUAAAAGCUCACCAAGGCGAUGAUCAGUAGCUGGUCUGAGAGGACGAUAAGCCACACUGGGGCUGAGACACGGCCCAGACUCCUACGGGAGGCAGCAGUGGGGAAUUUUGGACAAUGGAGGCAACCCUGAUCCAGCAAUGCCGCGUGAGUGAAGAAGGCCUUCGGGUUGUAAAGCUCUUUUGUCAGGGAAGAAACAGCAGCUCUAACACAGUCUGCGAAUGACGGUACCUGAAGAAUAAGCACCGGCUAACUACGUGCCAGCCGCCGCCGUAA
rnacentral:rRNA from 1 species